rnacentral:rRNA from 1 species
UGCAUUCGAAACUGGCAGGCUAGAGUCUUGUAGAGGGGGGUAGAAUUCCAGGUGUAGCGGUGAAAUGCGUAGAGAUCUGGAGGAAUACCGGUGGCGAAGGCGGCCCCCUGGACAAAGACUGACGCUCAGGUGCGAAAGCGUGGGGAGCAAACAGGAUUAGAUACCCUGGUAGUCCACGCCGUAAACGAUGUCGAUUUGGAGGUUGUGCCCUUGAGGCGUGGCUUCCGGAGCUAACGCGUUAAAUCGACCGCCUGGGGAGUACGGCCGCAAGGUUAAAACUCAAAUGAAUUGACGGGGGCCCGCACAAGCGGUGGAGCAUGUGGUUUAAUUCGAUGCAACGCGAAGAACCUUACCUGGUCUUGACAUCCACAGAACUUAGCAGAGAUGCUUUGGUGCCUUCGGGAACUGUGAGACAGGUGCUGCAUGGCUGUCGUCAGCUCGUGUUGUGAAAUGUUGGGUUAAGUCCCGCAACGAGCGCAACCCUUAUCCUUUGUUGCCAGCGGUCCGGCCGGGAACUCAAAGGAGACUGCCAGUGAUAAACUGGAGGAAGGUGGGGAUGACGUCAAGUCAUCAUGGCCCUUACGACCAGGGCUACACACGUGCUACAAUGGCAUAUACAAAGAGAAGCGACCUCGCGAGAGCAAGCGGACCUCAUAAAGUAUGUCGUAGUCCGGAUUGGAGUCUGCAACUCGACUCCAUGAAGUCGGAAUCGCUAGUAAUCGUAGAUCAGAAUGCUACGGUGAAUACGUUCCCGGGCCUUGUACACACCGCCCGUCACACCAUGGGAGUGGGUUGCAAAAGAAGUAGGUAGCUUAACCUUCGGGAGGGCGCUUACCACUUUGUGAUUCAUGACUGGGGUGAAGUCGUAACAAGGUAACCGUAGGGGAACCUGCGGUUGGAUCACCU